rnacentral:rRNA from 1 species
GAAAGUAAGCAAGGGCAGACGGUGGAUGCCUUGGCUCUCGGAGGCGAUGAAGGACGUGAUAAGCUGCGAUAAGCUUGGGGUAGGUGCAAAUAACCUUUGAUCCCAAGAUUUCCGAAUGGGGCAACCCGGCUGGUAGAAGGCCAGUCAUUCCGUAAGGAAGGCGAACGUGGGGAACUGAAACAUCUAAGUACCCAUAGGAGAAGAAAACAAAAGUGAUUCCGCAAGUAGUGGCGAGCGAACGCGGAACAGCCCAAACCGAUGAUGUUUAGGCAUUGUCGGGGUAGUAGGACCACGUUGUGGCAAGAGAUUAAGGAAGUAGAACGUUUUGGAACAAACGGCCGUAGACGGUGAAAGCCCAGUAUACGACUCUUUAACGAAGCCUAGUGGAAUCCUGAGUAGCGCGGAGCACGAGAAAUUCUGUGUGAAUCAGCGGGGCCCAUCCCGUAAGGCUAAAUACUCCCGAGAGACCGAUAGCGAACCAGUACUGUGAAGGAAAGGUGAAAAGCACCUCGAACAGAGGAGUGAAAUAGUCCCUGAAACCGUCUGCCUACAAGCGGUCGGAGCAACGUAAGUUGUGACGGCGUGCCUUUUGCAUAAUGAACCUACGAGUUACUUUCUCCGGCAAGGUUAAGGGCUUCAGGCCCGGAGCCGAAGCGAAAGCGAGUCUUAAUAGGGCGUGAUAGUCGGAGUGAGUAGACGCGAAACCAAGUGAUCUACCCUUGGUCAGGAUGAAGGUUGGGUAACACCAACUGGAGGUCCGAAUGGGUAUACGUUGAAAAGUGUUCCAAUGAACUGAGGGUAGGGGUGAAAGGCUAAUCAAACUUGGAGAUAGCUCGUACUCCCCGAAAUGCAUUUAGGUGCAGCCUUUAUUUAGUAUAGCAUGAGGUAGAGCGACUGAUUGGAUGCGAGGGCUUCACCGCCUAUCAAGUCCAGAUAAACUCCGAAUGCGUGCUAUAUAUUGAUAAGGAGUGAGGGCGCGGGUGCUAAGGUCCGCGUCCGAGAGGAGAAGAAUCCAGACCAUCAGCUAAGGUCCCCAAAUAACAGUUAAGUUGAACUAACGAAGUCGGACUGCAGAGACAGCUAGGAUGUUGGCUUGGAAGCAGCCAUUCAUUUAAAGAGUGCGUAACAGCUCACUAGUCGAGGAGUCCGGCGUGGAUAAUACUCGGGCAUAAACUGUUUACCGAAGCUAUGGAUGUAGAAAUACAUGGUAGGGGAGCAUUCCAACGGCGUCGAAGGUGAAGGAUGACCUUUGCUGGAGCUUUUGGAAACGCAAAUGUAGGUAUAAGUAACGAUAAAGGAGGUGAGAAACCUCCUCGCCGAAAGACUAAGGUUUCCUGAUCAACGUUAAUCGGAUCAGGGUAAGUCGGGACCUAAGGUUAAGCCGAACGGCGAUACCGAUGGAAGAAUGGUUUAAUAUUCCCAUACUACUUUAUGGAGCGAUGUGGAGACGGAGAAGUGAAAGUCCUGCCAUCUGACGGAAUAGGUGGUUGAAGAGUGUAGAUGUAGAUUCCUGUAGGCAAAUCCGCAGGGAGAGUCGACCUUGAUAGUAUGCCGCGUGCUUGCACAAGGCAAAAUGGACGUAAUCAGGCUCCCAAGAAAAUCCGCUAAGCAUAUUCAUAAAGUACCCGUACCGUAAACGGACACACGUAGUUGGGUUGAAAAUACUGAGGCGCUCGAGUGAUUCACGGUUAAGGAACUAGGCAAAUUGACCCUGUAACUUCGGGAUAAAGGGUCCCUACUGAGAGGUAGGGCGCAGAGAAUAGGUCCAGGCAACUGUUUAACAAAAACACAUGGCUGUGCGAAAUAGAAAUAUGAAGUAUACAGCCUGACACCUGCCCGGUGCUGGAAGGUUAAGAGGAGAGCUCAUCGCAAGAGAAGGCUUGAAUUGAAGCCCCAGUAAACGGCGGCCGUAACUAUAACGGUCCUAAGGUAGCGAAAUUCCUUGUCGGGUAAGUUCCGACCUG